UUUUAUUUAUGAUUUAAAUUAAUAAAGUUGGGUAUUAAAAACAUUUGUUCUAAAUCCAAAAAAUUUGGCGGUGCUUUAAAAAAUCAGGGGAACUUGCAUAUUAAAUCGAUAAUCCACGAAAAUCUUACUUUUAAUUGAAACUCAGUUAGUGUAUUGCCGCAAUAAUAUAAAUUUAUAAUUAUAUAUAAAUAAGAUGUUAAAUCUAUGAUAGCAGGUCAAAGUGCAGCUUAUAUAAAAGGUGUUUGUGAGUUACAUUAUUAAUAAAGUAUGAACUAAAUAAAUGAAAUUUUUAUAAAAAUGGACUUGAUAGUAAUUAAUUUAUAUAAUGAAUUAAUGACUUAAAGUGUGU
rnacentral:rRNA from 1 species